UUAUUUGAGAGUUUGAUCCUGGCUCAGGAUGAACGCUGGCGGCGUGCCUAACACAUGCAAGUUGAGCGAUUUACUUCGGUAAAGAGCGGCGGACGGGUGAGUAACGCGUGGGUAACCUACCCUGUACACACGGAUAACAUACCGAAAGGUAUGCUAAUACGGGAUAAUAUAUUUGAGAGGCAUCUCUUGAAUAUCAAAGGUGAGCCAGUACAGGAUGGACCCGCGUCUGAUUAGCUAGUUGGUAAGGUAACGGCUUACCAAGGCGACGAUCAGUAGCCGACCUGAGAGGGUGAUCGGCCACAUUGGAACUGAGACACGGUCCAAACUCCUACGGGAGGCAGCAGUGGGGAAUAUUGCACAAUGGGCGAAAGCCUGAUGCAGCAACGCCGCGUGAGUGAUGAAGGCCUUCGGGUCGUAAAACUCUGUCCUCAAGG
rnacentral:rRNA from 1 species